rnacentral:rRNA from 2 species
UUGGAGGGCAAGUCUGGUGCCAGCAGCCGCGGUAAUUCCAGCUCCAAUAGCGUAUAUUAAAGUUGUUGCAGUUAAAAAGCUGGUAGUUGAAUUUCGGGGUUAGUAGGUUGGUCAUGCCUCUGGUAUGUACUGAUCUCACUGAUUCCUCCUUCCUUAUGAACCGUAAUGCCAUUAAUUUGGUGUUGCGGGGAAUUUGGACUGUUACUUUGAAAAAAUUAGAGUGUUUAAAGCAGGCUAACGCUUGAAUACAUUAGCAUGGAAUAAUGAAAUAGGACGUUCGAUCUUAUUUUGUUGGUUUCUAGGAUUGACGUAAUGAUUAAUAGGGAUAGUUGGGGGCAUUAGUAUUCAAUUGUCAGAGGUGAAAUUCUUGGAUUUAUUGAAGACUAACUACUGCGAAAGCAUUUGCCAAGGAUGUUUUCAUUAAUCAAGAACGAAAGUUAGGGGAUCGAAGACGAUCAGAUACCGUCGUAGUCUUAACCAUAAACUAUGCCGACUAGGGAUCGGAUGAUGUUAAUUUUUUAAUGACUCAUUCGGCGCCUUACGGGAAAC